GGGAGCAGAGGCACCUGGGCAAGGGCUGGAGCAGAGGCAGAGGAAGGUGCAGCUGCUGCUUCCCAGCCCGCGGCACUGGCGGGGCCCAGGCGCGGUGCAGAGGGUGUGGGAGGCCAAGAAGCUCGGGAGGAGCGAGAGAGGCGGCAGCGGCUGAAGGGGUGCUGUGUUUCUCAGGGGACACAUUCCCACACCCACCAUCAACAGGGAAGCCCCAAUGAAAAGGUGCCAUUGGAAAGUUCUUCCUCAGGGACUGAAGAUCUCACCAUUGAUCUGCCAGUGCCUGAAUCCGCCCAUCCUACGCCGCUUUGGGGGGAGCAGUCGGAUGUCAGUGAAAGAAAAGCCUCCAGUCUUAGUAAAGGACCCUGAGACUUGGAAGACAGUGGGACCUUACAAAUUGGUUACAUGGGGACGUGGAUAUGCCUGUGUGUCCACCCCCUCAGGUUUAAAGUAGGUUCUUUCCAAAUGGGUAAGGCCCCACGUCCCCAAGGUCUCAGGGAAGUCUACAGCGCCCCAGGUUGCUAAUGCUGCCUGGAGAAGGAAACGCCGCACGCGUUCUCUGGAGGAAAUUCCAUUUAAGCCUCCUAUCUGGAAUAGUUUGUAAUAUAUUUCUGUCUUAAGUUCCCUGUAUCAGUUUAGAUCCUGCUGUUCGUGGGCAGUCUCGAGACACCAUGAGACCGAUUCUGCUCCUUGCCCUACUCAUGAUCAUUCCACCAGCGAUCUCCUGGAGAGUCCCUCAGCCCAAAGCAAACACACAGACUAUCUGCUCCUUCUGCACAACCAUCGCUGUGAAGAAUCUGAAGGUCUCUGCUGCCUCAACUUGUCAUCAAAGGCAGAGAACGUCCAAGAGAAACGGACAACUGGCUGAGUGGACUGUUCAAAGGCUGGGGACUCUCGGGCUGGUUGGGAUCUAUUCUGAAAACUGUUUUUAGUACUGUUCAUUUUAGUUAUUGUUAUUGUAGUUGUUAGCAUUG